GCUGGGCGUCGUGGUGCACGCCUGUAGUCCCAGCUACAUGGGAGGCUGAGGUGGGAAGAUUGCUGGAGCCCAGGAGUUUGAGGCUGCAGUGAACUAGGAUAGUGCCACUGUACUCCAGCCUGGGCAACAGAGAAAGACCCCAUUUCUU
ensembl:misc_RNA Metazoa_SRP Metazoan signal recognition particle RNA